rnacentral:rRNA from 1 species
UCCGUCUGCCUGCGAAUGCUCUGCCUGGUGGCGCCGCUGGCAUGCGUUAACUUGCCUGCUGGUGAGUUGGUCGCAGGCUGAAAUUUCAAGGAUGUGGCUGGGCAGCACCACUCCCGUUGAAGACUUGGGUUUAGAUGGACUCAACGCCUGAAACCUCACCGGAGACUACAGCCGAAUGAGGGCCAGGCUGAUGACCUUACUAGACUAUGUGAGACGAGGUGAAUGCUUUACCUGACCACCUGAGAGGAGGUGCACGGCA